GGGGAUUUAGCUCAGUGGCAGAGCGCUUGCCUAGCAAGCGCAAGGCCCUGGGUUCGGUCCCCAGCUCCA
rfam:Rattus norvegicus chromosome 11, whole genome shotgun sequence.